UUCCAUCUUCUUCUUCUACCUCUACCUCCAUCAUAAUUUUUACUCUCCAAACCCGCCACCACCAGCCCCCCUUCUCCUUCAACCACCAAUUUCUCCACCACCAGCCCCACCCUCUCCCCUCCAAAUCCCUAAUUUCUUCUCCUUCAAUUACCAAAUCCUUCACCCCACCUAAAACCCUUGACUUAAGAUCAUUAGAAAAGAAUGAAAUUGAAUUUCUAAAUUAAAAAUUAUCUUCAUGAAUUUAAAAACUUGAAAUAAAAUUAAAAUUGAAGAAAAGUUAUUAGCGGCAGUGUUAAUGGUGGUGGCGGUGUUAAUGAUGAUGGUGGUAUUAAUGGUGUGCAUAUAUUUUUUUGGGGUUUGUUUUAAUCGUUUUUCGAUGAGUUUUGUUGGAAUAUUUCGAAAUGAAGAGUUUUGAAUUGGAAUGUG
rnacentral:lncRNA from 1 species